UACGGAGGGGGCGAGCGUUGUCCGAAGUUACUGGGCGUAAAGCGCGCGUAGGCGGGUUGGCAAGUCCGCUGUGAAAGCCCGGGGCUUAACCCCGGAGGGUCGGUGGAUACUGCCAGUCUUGAAGGUGCUAGGGAGAGAUGGAAUUACCGGUGUAGCGGUGAAAUGCGUAGAUAUCGGUAGGAACACCAGUGGCGAAGGCGGUCUCUUGGAGCACUCUUGACGCUGAGGCGCGAAAAGCUGGGGGGGAGCGAACGGGG
rnacentral:rRNA from 1 species